rnacentral:lncRNA from 1 species
CUAUGGGGAAGCAGCGCUGGAGUUUUCGCGACGCCUGCAGCGCCGCCCUGGCGGUCAGAACGCGCACAGUGCAGCCGCUCCCACGCGAAAAUGGCUACUGGUAUUGGCGAUGCGGGCGCUGAACGUCGAAGGAAAACAAAAGGAGGCCGACGGUACUGUUGCGUAUACAAGUGCCACAACUACGUCGGGAUGAGGGAGGAUAUAUCCUUCUACGUUUUCCCAUCUAAACCCUACGAACAAGAACGGAGGCGGCGUUGGAUCCAAGCAGUCAGGCGAGCGGAUGAAGACGGUCAGCCGUGGCAGCCAGGACCAAACAGCAGAAUCUGCAGUCGGCAUUUCGUCGGAAACAAAAUGAGCAAUAUCAUGCACCAUCCGGCAUAUGUACCAACCAUUUUCCCUUCGGAAUACCACCGCCAAGCCCCUUCUGAUGCCAGCGCACCAAGCGAACGAUACGAAAGGUAAAUAGUUUCCAUUCAUUGCAACAAUUAUGUGGGAGGGAAGCUGCCUUGUAAUACGAGUUGUGUGCGCAUACUGCCGGCGCACGUGCGAUCAGCCGCCGAUGUAUUUUUAAAAAUGCGCAUGCGGAUGGGGACUCGGCGCCGAGAUUCACCCGUUAAAUUUAUGUAAUUCGUGCUAAAUGUAGCCAGGGUUGUCACGGAUCAAGCAGCGGAGCACUCAAACCUUUGCUUGCUCGAAUCCGCUGAUGC